GGCGGCUGCGGAAUGCUAUACAUGCAGUCGAGCGGACUUGAUGGAGCUUGCUCCAUCAAGUUAGCGGCGGACGGGUGAGUAACACGUGGGCAACCUGCCUGUAAGACUGGGAUAACUCCGGGAAACCGGAGCUAAUACCGGAUAGUAUCUUGAACCGCAUGGUUCAAGUUGGAAAGACGGUUUCGGCUGUCACUUACAGAUGGGCCCGCGGCGCAUUAGCUAGUUGGUGAGGUAAUGGCUCACCAAGGCAACGAUGCGUAGCCGACCUGAGAGGGUGAUCGGCCACACUGGGACUGAGACACGGCCCAGACUCCUACGGGAGGCAGCAGUAGGGAAUCUUCCGCAAUGGACGAAAGUCUGACGGAGCAACGCCGCGUGAGUGAUGAAGGUUUUCGGAUCGUAAAACUCUGUUGUUAGGGAAGAACAAGUGCGAGAGUAACUGCUCGCACCUUGACGGUACCUAACCAGAAAGCCACGGCUAACUACGUGCCAGCAGCCGCGGUAAUACGUAGGUGGCAAGCGUUGUCCGGAAUUAUUGGGCGUAAAGCGCGCGCAGGCGGUUUCUUAAGUCUGAUGUGAAAGCCCCCGGCUCAACCGGGGAGGGUCAUUGGAAACUGGGAAACUUGAGUGCAGAAGAGGAGAGUGGAAUUCCACGUGUAGCGGUGAAAUGCGUAGAGAUGUGGAGGAACACCAGUGGCGAAGGCGACUCUCUGGUCUGUAACUGACGCUGAGGCGCGAAAGCGUGGGGAGCGAACAGGAUUAGAUACCCUGGUAGUCCACGCCGUAAACGAUGAGUGCUAAGUGUUAGAGGGUUUCCGCCCUUUAGUGCUGCAGCUAACGCAUUAAGCACUCCGCCUGGGGAGUACGGUCGCAAGACUGAAACUCAAAGGAAUUGACGGGGGCCCGCACAAGCGGUGGAGCAUGUGGUUAAUUCGAAGCAACGCGAAGAACCUUACCAAGUCCUGACAUCCUUUGCCACUUCUAGAGAUA
rnacentral:rRNA from 2 species